rnacentral:lncRNA from 1 species
GUGGAUUCCCUGCGGUUUUCUAUCAUGUCAUGUACAAAUAGAGAUAAUUUUUACUCCUUCCUGUCUAAUCAGGAUGGCUUUUUUUCUUCAUCUUGACUAACUGCCCUGGCUCGAACCUCCUGGACAGUGUUGAAUAGAAGUGACAAGAAUGAACAUCCUGUCUUGGCUUUAAUUGCGCAUUUAAUUGUUGUACCAAGUCCCUUGAGUAUAUUUGGAAAGGAAAAGAUGAAAUGCGCACAGAUGAACUGAUAUGAUAAAAUCCAGGAAUUGCUUCAGAAAGCCUGGGGGAAGGGCGGGCAUUACACGGGGUGUGGAUGUCCCGACAGGCCAUGACCGGUUGGCUGGGUACAAUGAUGGGCACACGGGGUUCUAUACUAUUCUUUCUGCUUUUGUGUACCUUUGAAAUUCGCAUAAUGGAAAAUGAAAAAGUAAAAUAAGGAAAAUGGAGAGCCAAAAAGAAAGAGCUAAGGAAAUAAAAGGUGCACCGGGCUGGCAGCGAGCAAACCAGACACACGCCUUCCUUCAGGGGGAGAGGCAGCAGAGAGGCAGGAAGACGGACCAUAAACUUGUCACUGCUGGACAAUGGUGAGAAACGUCAUGCAGAAAGGGAGAGGACGCAGGGAGUGUAGCCUGGGCUUUUCUGAAGAAAGCAACAUGUAAACUGAGGCCAGACAGUGAGAGGAUUUGGCCUGGUGCAGAGGGCAUGAAGACCAUCCCAGGUACCUAGAGUGGAAUCGCUGGAUCCUGGGUAACUCCGUUCAACUUCUCGAGGAACUGCCAGCCUAUUUUCCACAGUGGCACCAUUUCACAUUCCCGCCAACAGUGUCUGAAGGUUCCAAUUUCUCCACAUCCUCGUCAACACUUAUUAUUUGUCUCCCUCUACUUUUGCAUGUGUUUUGGAAAUCUCCAAAAUAAAUGUUAAAAAAAUAAAAGAAG